GUGCUGGGGGCGGACGUGGCCGGCGGGGCGGGCUCGGAGCCCGGCCGCUGGCAUCUGGAGAUCAGCGGCCAAAGCGAGCACUUGUUUGUGUUCCCCAAGACGAUGUUUAAUGGGACCGGAGUGACGCUCAAAUUUCUGAAUGAGACCUGUGACUCCAGUGUGACCCUGACCAUCACCUGCUACCUGCGCAGCUCCCGGUGUCACGAUGAAGUUUACGUA